AGCAGCCGCGGUAAUUCCAGCUCCAAUAGCGUAUAUUAAAGUUGUUGCAGUUAAAAGCUCGUAGUUGAAUUUCGGGAUCAGUACGCUGGUCGUGCCUUCGGUAUGAACUGGUGUCACUGGUUCCUCCCUUCUGAAGAACCGUCAUGCCAUUCAGUUGGUGUGGCGGGGAAUCAGGACUGUUACUUUGAAAAAUUAGAGUGUUUAAAGCAGGCUCGCGCUUGAAUACAUUAGCAUGGAAUAAUGAAAUAGGACGUUUGACCCUAUUUGUUGGUUUCUAGGAUCGACGUAAUGAUUAAUAGGGAUAGUUGGGGCAUUAGUAUUCAAUUGUCAGAGGUGAAAUUCUUGGAUUUAUUGAAGACUAACUACUGCGAAAGCAUUUGCCAAGGAUGUUUCAUUAAUCAAAGAACGAAAGCUAGGGAUCGAAGACGAUCAGAUACCGUCGUAGUCUUAACAUAAACUAUGCCGACUAGGGAUCGGAUGAUGUUAAUUUAUAAUGACU
rnacentral:rRNA from 1 species